UGCCCUUCUCUAAAAGGAAGUC
rnacentral:piRNA from 1 species